AAAAUAUUGGCCUGGUGUCUAAUAUCAAAUGUGUAAUUUGGAAAAUUUGUAAGAUGGAAAUCUUAUAUUACCCCGCUGUCCACAGAGCAAAUGUUGUGAGUCAGUGUCUGGGAACACAGAAGACAAGUUAGAAGAGUUCUGUACCUUUGGAAGAUCUGGAUCUAGGCUGUAACACAGCAUCUGGAGCAGAUAAGCAGCUACAGCCAGCAAGCAAAUGUAUCUGGAAAUCCGCUGAGACAGCAACAUUCAUCAUAGCUUCACUAACAACACGGGCACAGCACACCCACCUAAAGGAUCAGCUGUUACGAGGUGCAUCAGUCCCUCCAGCAACCCAUGAAUGCAGAUGGAAAGCUCCACAAUGGCAUACCUGGAAUCAAACUGACUGUUCUGUUUUACAGACAUGUUAUGUUACAGUUUUUAAAUGACCUGUUUUGAAAAUAGAAGAAAGUGAAAAAUUGCACUGAAAAAGCAUCCAGGAAAAAAAAAAAAAAAUACUUGCCAACUAUGCAAAUAUUUUCCGUAGUACUUGACAGGAUUAGUCUCCCCUCAAGAAGAAUCAAAGUAUUACCCUACUUGAUUCCUUGCAAAUAGAAGUAAAAUAUUGAGUAGAGCAUGUCCAAACAUUUGU